CCUUCUCUUUCUCUCUCUCUCCCCGAAUAAAACCGACGGUUUCCGCGGAUGUGCGAGCUGCCUCUUUGCAAGCAGCCAUAACUGGGAUUAUUCAGGAAUAAUUCGCCUAAUCCAUCCGAGAUGGCUUUGAUUUUUAUUUAAACAUCUACAUAUAAAUCGUGAUUUCGACAGCGUUUGCGAUUUGAAUUUCCUUGUGACAUCGCUGGGUUUGUCACAAAUAGAAUUUGUUCUGUCAUGGAGGCUUUUAUUGUGGACUGUAAGAUGUAGUCCACCUUCGCUGGACAGCAAAACAAAGACUGCAUAUUAACAGUUCGGGGUAAAUAAAUACAUCGUCUGUUUGUUGUUGUGUUUUUUUGUUUUUUGUUGUUUUUUUUGCACUGAAUGAUGGAAGACAUAGACGUAUCGAGGCGGUUUUCUGUGUGGACUAAUUGUUCUGGUGCUACCACCCAAUAUACAUACCAAGACGAUUCAUGUAGGGGGAUGCGCGAUGUUUUUUCCUCUCUAACGUUUGUGGGUGGGUUAUUAUAAGCAUUGAAAAUCUGACAUCAUUUGGAUAUAUGAACAGAACAAGAUGUUUUUAGCGCGUCUGUUCUCUGCAAAACCAUCUUCGACGUGAUGCAACAUAAAAUCUGUUUCUCGGAUGAUAUUCAGACACAGACCAAAUGGACACAUCCCUCUCUGUGAAACUAAAAAGGGAGGCAGUGGUUUUUUUUUAUUUUUUUAUACAUCUUUCUUAAAUGUGGCUUAACAGCAGAGUCCUCACCCUGGAUGGUUUGAUCAGCUGCUGAUUAUUAGAUAACACCUGUCGUAUUGUGUUUAUUCUGUGUUGCUCAGUUCGAUGGAUUUAUGCAUAACAGGUGUUGUUUGAGCCUGAGAUCACAGCACGAGCAUGAGGCGUGAUUAUGUGUUUUUGUCUCGGUUUAACAAACAGUGAAACACGGCGAGUGGAACCUUUUUAUUAAUUUUGUUCUUUUUUUUUUUACCGUGGCAGAUGAACAGAUACCCCCCAAAAAAAUCAAAGGAUGAAAGCCUGUUUCAGGCCUAGCUGACACGGCAUCUAUCAUCAGGUGAUCAUCCUGAUGAUGAUCAUCCGUCGUCCAUCAGGUGGUGAGUUUGUGGACAAAGAGGAAAGAUGAGUC